CGUGGCCAUCCUCGAUUCUCCUCGCCCAGCGGGCGUACGUCGUCAUCAGCAGGAACGACACCACGGCCUCAGCCAAAUCGAGGGCCGACCAUACCGUGGAGGUCACCUUCUGGGUUGCUGACCCACCGGCCGUGUCCUUCUACACCUUCCACUGCUCCAAGCCCCCCAUCUCCGAUUGCGAGGACGCCGACUUGGAAGUUCAGCCGCAUGUGGUCGGCGCACAGGGCCGAUUCAUUCUUCUCCGCACCCGCUUCGCUUCCGGCGACGACGAGGAUGAAUACUUCAUCUACAAAGGCGACCCGGAGUCGCCGUCCCUCGAAAGCGUCCCACUCCCCGAUGAUGAUAGGCUGCGCGGAGUCAGCGAGUUUGGAAUUGUGCCCCGCGGUGACGGGGGCCAUUAUCUCCUUGUCGCUCUCUGUUACACGGCGAAAUAUUUGGAUUACAGGCUUCACAUCUUCUCGUCUGAGGAUAGGACAUGGAGGACUAAGGAACUGCUCAAUCCAUGCCCUGGAGUCCACACAAUUUUACCUGCGAAGGUGUUCAUGCUGCAAGAUGGGAUGCUAUGCUGGGUUGAUUUCGCGCAAGGCUUGCUGAUGUGUGACGUACUUCAAGAACCUCUUCAUGCACACUACAUUCCAUUGCCCGAGUUCUUACCUGAAAACAGACCAAAAGUGAAGCAAUUUGUCUCAGGAGCUAGUGCCAGGCGUUUUCGAGAUGUCGCCUGCGUUGAUGGUAUGAUCAAGUUUAUUGAGAUGGAACACCGGGUGAUCACGGAGGAGAUUAUAGAUGUUCCUGCUGAAAAGCCGUUUAACCCCCGCGACAAGGAUGUGCUCUACGACUCAGACUUGAUCAUGCUGAGCAAGCACAAAGAUGUGGACAUCAAGCCCAAGAUUCUGCGCUCAGUGAAUGGUUGGAGUGCCAUGACAUGGACUAGGGAGGUAGGGUCCAACUGUUGGCUCAAGGGAUGUGCCGUUGAUGUUGAUGACAUUUUGGUUGACCACUCUGUUCGUCCGGCAAGUUACAGCCCUUGGAGCUUGAAAUUCAAGAACAACUUAGCUUAUCCCACCCUGAGCACAGAUGCUAAUGACCUUGUUUACCUCAAGUCAUCCAUGAUUUUGAGAAAUCCAAAUAGAUUGGCACGGGUAGUUGCUGUUGAUCUUGCAAAGAAGACAUUGAAAGUGAAAGCACUUGUGGGAUAUCCUUUUGGAAGAAGAUAUGCCCCUUCCGAGCAAAUAUUCCGUCCCUGUGCAUUAUCCAACUAUCUGACAAGGACUAAAGGUAAUUGCUGACCUUCUGUUGUUAUCAAACGUGUUGUGAUCUGUAUACUGGGAGAACCUGUGUUAUGUGAUGCUGUUUGCUAAUUAUCUUGUUUGCCGUUUAGACCUUUUAAUGGCGACAUGCGACACAUAUCUUUGUUUGGGUGUUUAGAGCUACAUAUGGUACUCUUUGUGGUUUCUGCUGUGAUUAACAGGGAUAUCAGUUUUUUGUAUUUACCUUUAUGGUCAUAUCUUAAGGUAUAAACUGUUGCUGGGAUAGAUACAAGGUGUGGAUGGUCUUUUCUCUGCUGAUUCAUACUUACGUGCGUAGACCAGAUUUUAUCAACUUACAAAAAGUUAAUGCUUCACUGAUGUUUAUCGAAGAACUCUAAUUUUCUAUGCAUGGGUGAGUGCAUAUUUACAAACUGCGCGCUGUUUGGCUCUCCAUCUGAGUCUGCCGAAAUAAAAUAACUUGAGUGCUAUUGAUUCCCUGUUUAUAGCUAUGGCAUAGCUUAUGGGUUUAUUGGUUUUUGUAGGCAUUAAACUCUCAGAAAGCGAGAUCACACCGGGGAGCUCUUCAAAUGAACCAAAUAAUACAGCUGUAAGUGUAUUUUUUUAUCAUGUGUCUCUCUUCGUACUUCAAAGCACUCCCGCUAGUUAAGUUUCCCUCCGUUGUGUCCACAGGUCUGUGUGGGUGAGCCUGAUUCCUAUGAAUCUAAGAACAAACAUCUCUCAGAAUGCGAGAUCACACAGUUGGGGAGAUCUUCAAAUGAACCACAUAAUACAGCUGUAAGUGUUUUUUUUUAUCAUGUGUCUCUUCAUAUUUCAAAGUACUCCCGCUAGUUAAGUUUCCCUCCCUUGUGUCCACAGGUCUGUGUGGGUGAGCCUGAUUCCUAUGAAUCUGAGAACAAAUGUCUCUCAGAAUGUGAGAUCACACAGUUGGGGAGCUCUUCAAAUGAACCAAAUAAUAAAGCUGUAAGUGUUUUUUUUUUAUCAUGUGUCUCUCUUCGUAUUUCAAAGUACUCCCGCUAGUUAAGUUUCCCUCCCUUGUGUCCUCAGGUCUGUGUGGGUGACCCUGAUUCCUAUGAAUCUGAGAACAAACAUCCAAGGCAGGUUUUUUACUCUGUUGCGAGAGUUCUCUAUUCUGUGAAUAUUUGUAUAAUCGUUAUCUAGUUUAUAAAUCAUCGGGCUAGAGUAUUUUGAAAGCUAUUCACUAAUUAGUUUUAGCUGAUAUAUCGGAGCUCUUUUGAAUAAAUGGAUUUGAUGUUCCUCAGACUAUCAGCUGAGAAAGUCAACCAUGCCCAAAAUGGAGCUCAGAGUCUUGUGCAGAAUUUUCUUAGCUCACAGGUCCAUCCUGAUCAAAACAAUAUGGUAUGCGCUGAAUACAGUAUGUCCUGUUUCUUAUUAUGUGUCAUACAACAAGAUAAUUAGAAUGUGCCAUUUCCAGCUUCCGCAGCACUUCAACAGAUGGGAGGGGCCCGGCUACUGUAGCAACUGUGGCUAUUGGGGCUACCCAUCAUGGCCCCAUCGAAGCAAUUCGGUAUGCUGUAUUUCAUAUGCCUUGUUUCUCAUGUGUCCGUUUUUCAUCAUCAUACAGCAACAUUAAUUAGAAUGUGCCACACCAGGCGCGGCCGCAGUGCUUCAACAAGUGGGGGUGAACCCUUCAAUUCUUGUGUAUGCACCAUCAGCCCCUGGCCUUUAAUAUGCAUAGUUACAGCAAUUAUCAAUCGCUGUGGCAGCAGCCAUCACUGUCGGAGCAACAAACAGCACCUAGCAGGGCAUUUGGACCUUUAUGAGGUUUGUGAAGCUUAUGAUAUGCUGCUGUGUCCUCAUUUGACUUGCAGCUGAAGAAAAGACAAUCGCUCAAUUAAAAUUUACUUCUGCAAAGAAUCUCCUUGUGUUUUGUAUGAUUAGAAAGUUAAAGACAUAGGCACCAUGUUUAUAAAUUUGAUCUAAGUUUGUUUUAACAUGAUAGGUUACAAAGAGGAAAUUAGUUAUGUUUACUAUGCUGUACCGUUUUUGUACUGUUUCCUACAGUUAAAUUAAUUAGAAGUUGCUAUUCCCAGGCACCCCGUCCAUGCUUUACAGAUUGGUCUGGAGCCAGCUACCAUGGGAAUUUGCAACAAUUCCCUGCCGGUAACUCUUAUUCCUAUGGUGCACGCUCAGGCAAUGGCAACUACAAUCAGUAGUGAUAGCAGCUUCCCCCUACUCGAUCAGUUGACUGCCUGUGCAGCUUUGCAGUAGACACAGUGGUUUUUGGACCUCAUGAGGUAAAAUAUUGGUGCAAAUUAUGAUGUAGUACCAUAACCUUUAUAAGACAGUAUCCGUGGUGUCAGCAAUAUACUCUAUGUUCACUCUAUUUCAUCGUAAAAUGUAAGGCGUUUUAGUUUUGUCCUAUAUGAAACUUCUAAUUUUGAUUAAGUUAAUAGAAAAAUAUAUUACAUAUUUACAUCUACAUUGCCAAAUAAAUGCACUCUCAAGACAUUAUACAGUGGAUUUAAACAAAAGUUUGAUUUUGUAGAUGUUAAAGCAUUUUUCUAUAAACUUGAUCAAGAGAAGAGUUUAACAUAGGUCAACUAAAACGACUUAAUUUUGGAACAGAGGGGGCAUUGGCUAGUAAUACAGUACGUGCUGUGCAUCGGAGCAUUGUAUGUUUCAUUCAAAUUGAAGUUUAGAAGAUUCCAUGGUUACCUUUUAGAGCACUGGCAUUCAAAUAUGGCCCUACGCUUUUUUAUCUCUUCUAGAAUCUCAAAAGGAAACUGUUUUGCUGAAAUAUGAGCACAUCAGUGAACGGGCCUUAACUUAUGAAAGAAGAUGAAAGUUCUUUGAAAGGAGCAAAAAAGUGAUAAAGUAGUAAGGGUCAGAUGGUGAUAUAUCUUACAAAAGUGUGCUAUCCAGUGUUUUGGUGAAUGCCAAAUGAAAUAUAGAUGUUGAACCGUGCCGCCUAAUAUCUUGUGAGUUGAUUGUGCUAAAUCCCUGAAAUUUUAAACUUCCGUGUUAUUUGAUGCUAUAAGAAAGUCUUGGAAGCCGUAGUUUUGGAAAAGAGAUGACCUGCCACGCUUAUAUGUUACUAUUCCUUUUGCCUAAGUCUUGGAAGCUGACUACUUGAUCUUGGAAGCUGACUACUUGAUUUUACCGCAAAGAGAUGCUCACUAUGAGUAUGAGUAAUGACGAUAUUUUUAUAUACUAAGAGUGAAAUAAUUGAAAAACGUUUCUUACCUAUAGUUUAUCUCCUGUACCCAUCUCAACGCAGAUUUUCGACCCAAUAUUAUAUCCUCCGCAAUCAGCUCGUUCCCCUUCUUCCUUAUUUACUCAACCCGAGAAGGCCAAUCUCCACGUACGAGAACAGUUAGUUGGUGGUAGGCUACUUUGGUCCCUGCGAUGGCGGCUAAUUCGAGCGGCGGCCGUCCACCGCUACUGUUAUCAUUUGAUCCUCCUUACGGCCCCAUCACCGCUGCUGUAGGUUGUGAACAGAACACUUAAGCAUUAUCCUAUGAUUUCCUUGCAUAUGGAGUUCUAACGUGUUUAUAGGCUUCCAGUUCAAUUUGAUAAUUACUGAAGCUUUCUUUUUCCAGUAGAAGAAACUGAAAUUAAUUUGAAAUUUCAUCUGCAUGGAUCUUAUAAAACUUUCAACAGAGCUAUAUAUCAUUAGCGUCUGUGAAGUUUCAAGUAACAAUUAUUUAUUUAUGGUCCGUACUAAGUACCGGGUUAUAAAUCUUUUUAUCUAAACUUAUUUUUUAUGCAUUUCAUAGUUGAACAUUGCAUGUUUAUAAUUUUCUAAACAUCAUUUGAUUAUCAGCACCGCCCGCCCACACCGCCACUUAAGCCCCAUCCACACCCUUACCCACUUUUAACUUAACUUUUCCAACGCCGUCAAUGGCUCCCCAUGCGGUGCCUCGCUGCCUUGUCCACCGGCCCAUUGACCUUGACGUUUGGAAUAAAAAAAUUGGGCGGUUCGAGACAUGUUUCAAUAAUUAAUAUUCGAUGUUGUAACUAUUAUUUNNNNNNNNNNNNNNNNNNNNNNNNNNNNNNNNNNNNNNNNNNNNNNNNNNNNNNNNNNNNNNNNNNNNNNNNNNNNNNNNNNNNNNNNNNNNNNNNNNNNNNNNNNNNNNNNNNNNNNNNNNNNNNNNNNNNNNNNNNNNNNNNNNNNNNNNNNNNNNNNNNNNNNNNNNNNNNNNNNNNNNNNNNNNNNNNNNNNNNNNNNNNNNNNNNNNNNNNNNNNNNNNNNNNNNNNNNNNNNNNNNNNNNNNNNNNNNNNNNNNNNNNNNNNNNNNNNNNNNNNNNNNNNNNNNNNNNNNNNNNNNNNNNNNNNNNNNNNNNNNNNNNNNNNNNNNNNNNNNNNNNNNNNNNNNNNNNNNNNNNNNNNNNNNNNNNNNNNNNNNNNNNNNNNNNNNNNNNNNNNNNNNNNNNNNNNNNNNNNNNNNNNNNNNNNNNNNNNNNNNNNNNNNNNNNNNNNNNNNNNNNNNNNNNNNNNNNNNNNNNNNNNNNNNNNNNNNNNNNNNNNNNNNNNNNNNNNNNNNNNNNNNNNNNNNNNNNNNNNNNNNNNNNNNNNNNNNNNNNNNNNNNNNNNNNNNNNNNNNNNNNNNCGGCGGGGUGGAGCUGUGGCGGUGGCGGGUGGAGCAGGGGCGGCGGCGGCAUGGAGCAGGGGCGGCGCGCGGGGUGGAUCAGGGGCGGCCGGGUGGAGCACGGGCGGCGGCGGGGUGGAGCUGGGGCGGUGGCGGGGUGGAGCAGGGGCGGCGCCGGCAUGGAUUGGCGCGGAGGAGGCUACCUCAGGCGGCGGCGGGGGAGGUGGGGUGGACCAGGGGCGGCGCGGCCGUGACCCAGGGGAGCCGGGGUGGACCAGGGGCGGCGCAGCCGUGGCCCAGGGGAGGCAGGGUGGAGCAGGGGCGGCGCGGCCGUGGCCAAGGGGAGGCGAGCGUCGGUGGGACCGGGAGCUCCCGUCGCGGGGCGGCGCAGGGAGGAGGAAGAAGAUGGUCGUCAGAACGACAGGUGGGCCCACUAACGGUGUCUAACACAGGGAGAAAACGGUGCUCGUCCCGUGUAUUGUAAUCUCUCCAAUCAAACAAUGAACCGAGAUAGAUCCAUUAUUUUCAACCAAAUAUAAGAUGGGAUCAUCCCACCCAAAAAACUAGGACGGGACCAUCCCGUCCUACAUUGUCUUCCAUCCAAACACAUAGUAAUAGGAUUUGCCUGCCAUCCACCGUCGUGCCGUGUACGUAGGUGCGCAGCAGAGAAACAAGGAACUACGUUGGAUACCAAUCCAAUGACUAGGAUUAUCCAAAAAACUAGAACGUGAUUAUCCCAUCCUAUAUUGUCUCCCAUCCAAACAUAUAGUAACAGGAUUUGCCUGCCAUCCACCGUCGUGCCGUUUACAUAGGCGCGCAGCAAGGAAAUAAGGAACUCGCUGUAGAAUUCAGUCGAUGAACGACGUUGGAUACCAAUCCAAUGACUCCCAUGUGGGCUCUGCGCCUCUGCCGCUCUGGGCUCUCGCCUCCCGGGAUAAAACUAAUGUGAGCAAGCUCGCUGUAAAGUUUUCUUUCGUUUAUUUUAUUUACUCCCCAUGCAAGGAAUCAUUAACAUCACAGAUUAAUCUUGUCGAGAUAAUCAAAAAAAUGCGCUAAGCAAACGAAGUGAAGGAGCAGUUCAUCAAAACCUACUUGAAGCAAACAAGAAAGGAACAUUAGGUCUCCAACGGUUUAACUAACAAAAUGAACUAUGCAUUUGGCAACCAACAACGCCUCAGGUGAGAUAAAAAAGGAACACAAUGUCAUCAUCGUCAUAUAGUGGUCAAACAAAUAAAAGCCCAUAUAAAACAAAUGCAAAAUCUCCAAUUUCAUAUGAUUUCCACAUCUAUAACUUUCUGAUGUCACCAAUCACGUAUCUUCAGUCUACAUAGGAAAGAUUUUUGCUCUGUAUACCUGAGAUCAUCCCGGUUAAGUUUAUAUUAUUCUCCACUUAGGAAUAUAAAGAAUUGGAGAAUGGCUUCCCAUCUGAGCAGAGGUACCACAACAGUAAAAAGAAAUGUGGAUUCACCCAACUAAAUCGUGGAGAUUUGAGGUUGAGGUCUUUUUCUGUUGCAUGCUUCUUCUCAAAAGGUCGUCAGGUCGAGGUUGAGGUCGUUUUCUGCUGCAUGCGCCUUCUCAAAAGGGUGUCAGGUGCUCUCUAGGAAAGAACCACAGCACUGCUCCGCAAAAUAAGGAAGUCACGACAAGAAUGAUCAAGGUGAAAAGGCUUUAAGCUGCCAACUGAGCAAGAAAUCCCUGAUGAAAAGGCCAAGUCGGCAAACAUUCGUGAAAUGCACACAACAAAAGGUAGAGCAUGACCAAGGUAAGCAUAGUCUGAACGAGGGAAUAGCAACGUAAUAAAAUUUGUAAUCAUAUAUGGACAUUUCAAAACGAAGGAUAAUUUAAAGUGGUAGUGUAGAAAGCGGUUUUACCUAUUCCAUAAGAGAGAUUUGGGAAUAGUGCUUUUUAUCCAGAAUCACCAAAGAUCUUGUAAGGAAUAUCUCUAAACAUGUCAAUGUCAUGCAUUGUUGGCAAACAUAGACAUAAUUUUCUUGAAAAAACAAAGGAUAGCGCAACACAAUCGUCACACAAACAAAUUGUUCAAAUUGCAUCUUAUAAUUACCAAUCACAAACAAUUAUCUCAUGAAAGAAAAUAUUUCUGUGUUACUUAUCUCAUAGCAUUUAGAGAUGUCACACCAUGAUAGCAGCCAGGUAACAAACAAUUAAAAACAGACUGUUGAUCAUAAGGAAGCAGGGGUGCAGCAGGAAAAUUUUAACAGUACAAGGAUAGGCUGAGAUGCCUGUUUGCACUUUAAAAUUGCACCAAAUAGAUGAAAAAAAUGCAUACACUCAUGUCGAAAGAAAUUAUUCGGAACCAAAAAAAUCUUUAAACAGGAACUGUAUAAUAUAAUUGUGCAAAGUUCACGAAAUUAGGUGCUAAAAGUUUCCAGGUCUUGUCCCCACAUACUGAUGAGAGUUUGUUUGAUGAUUGUUGGGAUAGAGCAAAUAUGGUCGACGGCCAGAUUUGGAAAGGCCUUGAUUCCCUCACCAUCUAAGGGGCAUGGUAAAUCUGGAAUCAUCGCAAUCGGUGUGUUUCCGAUGGAGAUUUUCCAAACAUAGCUAGAGUGUUGUCGCUCCCUAGAGAGGAGAUGCAGUUUUGGGGAAUGGACAAGGCUCGAGACAUUUCUUAUCUCAUUGCCCUUGUGCCAAAAGGAGAUUAGAGGUCUAGGUCGAGGUCCUUUUACUGUUCUUAGUCAAGGUGCACAUAUAAUCUGAGUUUAUUGGUGUGAAUGUUUUUUUUUUGUGUUUAUGGUUCCAAACCCUUUUUCUUCUUAAUAUAAUGGUACACAACCCUACCGCGUGUUCAGAAAAAAAAGGUGCUACAAAUGCAAAAGGAAAACAAUACAUGCAUGAAACAAAAGCAAAUAGAAGACUUGAACAUUUGAGGAUUUUUAUAUCAAAUAAAUUAUCAUCUUAGAGCCACCCCAAAAUUUCAGGUGAGCAAUUUUGCACCUGAUCUAGAAGAAGCCAUAGUACAUCAUGAACCGUUAAGUUAACAACAAAAGAUAAAAGAUAUCCAUAACAGUACCUAUUACUGCAGCUAGGAAAAAACAGCAACUGAAACAGGCAAUCAUCUCAGGUUAACAAGAAACAAGGGAGGUACUGUUAUUGACAAUGCUUAACUGUUUCCAUAUCUACUGAUAUGGCACAUAAGCCAGAAGAAAUUAUAAAGUAUCAUCUGGUAUAUGUUUGUCGAUCAAUAAAAAUUCAAGCAGGUAGGAGGAUUCCAUGGAUUUCUCAUCUAUUCAGUGCAAAACUAAUGAAAUGAAAGAACAAAUUACACAAACAAUUCAUACAAUGUAAAUAAUUUUACAAAGUUAAUAACCCUUUCAAGUAAUAGAAGGGAACCAUGGUAAUGACAUAAUUUUUAGAAUCAAAUUGAACCAGAAUAUAAAGAUGUCUUGUACAAAACUUUGCAUGGUUUACUCCACAUAUUGCAAAAAUAAAGUAGCCAAGUUCAGUAUUACGGAACAGAUAUGGCCUUGCUGUCACUCUUAAGAGUUAAGACCAUAUUAAGAUUAGAUCAUUUGAUCUAAUGCAAUCUUGAAAGAAGAGUUUCAUCACGAGUAGCAUCUAAUAUUAUUCCGUAUCCUUCAAGAUGGAAAAGUCAAGAAUCUGUGAAUUAUUCAGCAGUGAAAUGGCGAUAAUUAAGAAGACCUAUGCCAAUUAACAAUGACAACAAUGAAAAUGAAAGUAACUGGUUCACUAACGCAACAGUGGGAAAUUGGGAAGCAAAAAAUAACAAACUUAGUGAGAAUGAAACUAAUAAUCUUAGUAGUAGCUGGUACUUGGUAGCUUAGCUUCACCGUACCAGCAAGCUCAUGAAGGCAUAGACUUUCUACCCAAACAACUGCAAACAUACCUCCUCAUUCUCCAUAGUGAGCAAAUGGCUUGACCAUCUAGCCCCCAGAAAAUCUCAUUCGCUAGAACCUAGGAAAUGAGCAUGGACAAGGUUUCAGAGAUAAAGCCACGUAUGCAUCAAUAUUCUAAUCAGCACAUUCAGAUAUAUGCUCCCUCAGAAAGCAAACAAUACUGAUGGUAGUAGUAGAAACAUACAAAGAAAGUAACAUGUAAGAAUUUAAAAUGAUUGAUUCGAAAACAAAAUAUCUACAUAUGUAGAAGUCAGGUUAUAAUCAAUCAUGUUGAAAAGCAUCCAACUCUCUUAACAUCUUUUUUCUCCAAACUAGGCAGGAACCUACCAACUCUCUAAUGUGCACUCACCAAUGCACCUCAGCAGAAUUCACAAUUUUUACUGCAUGACCAAAUACCAUCAAUAAUAUGUCUUUUAACUUAGAACUAAAUGAGGUACAAUACUUGAAUCAAAUUCAAAAGUUAGUAACAUCUGUAUACAAAGAUGACCAAUGUGUGUAGCCAGGAAGGUGUUCAUCAAAGUUAAACUGGGAUCACAUGAUCUAGUUAAACUAGAAUAACAUGAUCUAAUAAUGUUUAAAGAACUUGGCAAUUCAAUUAUGUACCAAGUGCGCAUUGAUGCACACAUAAAUGCCAGGCCUCCAGGGGCAAGGAACUGCACUAAGUAGCAAGUGCAAAAUUACAUGUGACAUGGCAGCCUUCACAGAUACCAGCACUGCUGUUGUUGCUAAUUUUUGUAUCAAUCACUGCAUCAGUACAUCUUCAGUGCUAUCUCAACCCAUUAUUAGAAAAAAAAUAUAUCAUUAUAACAGAUAAUGGCACCAUUAAAGCCCAAAAGGAGUCAAAAAAAGUAUGAUAAUUUUAACUGGACAACAAGAUGUAAAUCAGAGUUGGACUGAAAGUUUAACGACACUUACCUGGUCAGCCUCUGACUAAAAGUCUGUAUGACUGUAGGUAGCCUGCCCAAGGCAUACAAUACUUCACCACUUUUUUAUUGAGCAAUUUGUCUGAGGGUGCAUGGUGGCUGGAUGCAUAGUAAAAUUGAGCUGUUCAAAUUGUGUACAGAAUGGUAUAACCCUCAUUAAUAAUUUUCAACGCAUAUAUAAUCAGAAACCUUUUCAGUCAUGAAAUAAGAAGCUUUACACAAAUUGAUUAUCAGUAAUGUUAUAGAUGAAAAUUCACAAAUUACAAGAGAAAAUUAGUUGAGUAACUAACGUAAGCAAAUACCACCUUAAUCAAUUUCUGGCAAUUACUCUAGAAAGCACUUUAAAUUGAAUCUAAUUAAAUUAUUAAUACAAAGUGGGAAUCAUACCUCAAGAUCUAAAUGGGCAAUCUUAAUACACACUCAAAAGCAUCUCAGCAUCCCACCUCCUCAUCAGGUUUUUGCGACAAAGUAACAUUAGCAAGUAUACUGUACUAGGUCAUAUUCAUUAUAAAGGUGAAAUCAAACAAAACUAGUUUCCCGAUCCAAACAUAACACAAGGCUGCCGCCUUCCAUUGUUGCCAUGACCAGUGAUGUCCAAAAAAAAUUCGUGUAGGGACUAAGGUCGUUGGGCACUCAUGCUAUAAAUAUGUACACACAAGCAAAAAAAAAUUCACAGAAUAAGUGCCGUGUGUCACCAGAAAGGCUAAAGAAAUGCCAUUAAUGAAGCAAAUGAAAUAUAUGCCCACAUGCAUGCAAACAAGCUCAAUUCUUUCCAAUUUCCAGCUGGAAACAUUGCCAACACUCUUAGGGCUUUGAUAAUCACAGAAACAAGCUGGAUAAUCUUUCAAAACCUCUAUGAUCUGUAUAGCACAGUUCUAUCAUCAAAAGAGAACUUUGCAAAAGCACAUGGCAAAUCUUAACAGUUAAGUUUUCAGACAUCAGUUCAUAAAAUAUGCAUGGGCAUCUGGUCAUAUGAUAUAGCCUAGCUAAGUGAUCAAUGAGGAUCCAGCAGAAUUAGGACAAGACUGCUCAAAUAUAAGGAGUUAUAAGUCAAAUGAAAUAUAUAGCAAUUAGCAAGGAAUCUAAAGUUACCCCCUUGUGGUAGGCGAUAAGAAAGGAACCUUUCCAUUCGCAGCAAUGUGCCAAGACUUUCUUUUAUGUUAGAAACUAACUAAUUAUACUGACAGAAACAAACUAAAUUGCAGAUGAACUUUAGUACAACAGAGAAAAAAGGCAUUAUUGAGUAUUCAUAAAAUCCCAAUCAAUGCAUGAAGUCCCAAACAAUGCAAACCACAGGCAUACAGGAGCAACCCAGGGAACCAUGCUAAAUAGCAUCAGGCUAAUAUCACCAAAAAUAUGUAGUUAGCAGUUAGCACUUCACUAAAGAUAGUGUAAUAAACCAAAGAACUAGAGAGUGGGCAUCUUACCUUUAUCGCAGGCAGGAUGAACAAAUCAAUAGCUUCUCCAAAAAGCCUUUAAGGAACUCUGUGAACGUAGUUGGGUCUAGUGAACUUGUGAAUCUAAUGAAACAUCUCUCCGUAUAACUGAUCAGCCCACUAGCCAGGUUUAUCAAGAUUGCCAACUAGGCAUCACCCUUUAAAGCAGAAAGUUCUGUCGCUGUGUCAAAUGGCUGUCCAGCAAGAACAAUAUGUUACAAGUACCUGGCCUCACUUUAAGGAGCACACCUCCUCUUAUACCUCAUGUCAAACACUAUCAUGUAACUAACUGCUGAAGUCUGGUCGUAUCUGCUCUAUGAUCAAAGGGACACUUCAAUGUCUAUGCAGACAGAACAUUCUUUCUUAUCUCAAACCAUGCCUCCUGAUUAUCAUUGCCAGUAGGCUCCAACUAGUCACCAGCAGAACUUUCUGAGAACAAGAUCCUAAUUAACUCCAUAUUGAAACUUAAGCCCACAGGAAAAACGCACAUGUCAAGACACAGAUAAUCAGUGGCUUCAAGCUGUCUUUCAAUGAUAUCAAAAGACCCAGAGAUAUCUGCCACAACCCAGAUAUCAGUGGCUUCAAAACACUUUCUGAACUUUAGUUUCAGCAAGUCAAACUAGGUCUCCAGAAAUUCAUGAUCAGAGAAGCAUACUUUUGUUAGUUCCCUCUUAACUUUGUUCCUAUGAUAAUGCACAACUUCGUCACCUGUAACUCUCUAUGUGAAUAAAAGAAAAUAGACCACUUGCAGCUCUGCUGAUAAAUCUACCUAGAUGAACAAGUAUACCAUUUGGCCCACAAACAGAAGUACAGAAUGAAAUGAUCUACCUAUAAAUAAAGCAGCAUCCAUGAAUCGAUAAUACCCAUAAUGGAGCAGCAUCCAACACAUAGUCAGUAUACACAUCUUUUAGCAACAGGAACUUCGUGCAACUGGCAGCUUAAAACCUUUCCACUUUGGUCAUUUCACUAGAAUUCCUCGUUUUGCCCAGACAUAAGAAACCCUGAGCGAAUGGACCAAGAUUUGAAGAAUUUACCCUGUACUCCAUUCUCCAACAGUGCAUGUGUUUCUGUACUAGCAAGCGCAUAAAGAUCUCCUGCAGACCUUUUGAGAAGAAACAUAAGAGAGACCUCAAGCUCCAACCUUCAGAACUUCAGUAGGGUGAAUCGACAUUUUUUGUCUGCUCAGAUAGGAAGCUAUCCUCCAUCCUUUACCCGAGAGCACUUCGAAAAAUAGACCUCCGGUCUGCAUAUGUAGCGAGGAUCUCCUUGAGCCUGAAAUGGCACAUGGUCAGUUCAAAUAAAAAAAUGGAAGGAAACAAAAGUGUUUUGGUAUGAAACACUUACAUUUCAUAAGUAUCUGUCUCGCUGGAAAUUUCAUCAAGAAAAAUUGGCAAAAAUUCUUCGCAGUAAUAAGCAAUUAUGAGAUCUAGUUCUUCUCAUUCAACUUCAAGCAACUACAAUGAAAAAAGAAGAAGGUAUGAGUAAUGAAAUAAUAUAGGCAAUACCAGAAUUAAAUGCUAAGAGGUCUGAACUCAUAUACCCCUGUAUCAUGUGGGCCCUGGACAAUAAAGUGGCGUAGCAGUACAACCAAGUAUCCAUCUAGACUGUUAAGAGGAAAAAUAUCAGGAUUCUCAUCAUUUUUACUCAAAUUCCUACUGUAAUCUGUCACAUAAUGAUCCUUUGGACAUUGAUGUUCCCUCCCUUUCCAAUAGACAGUGGAGAUGAAAUCAUCUUUGGGAGCAAUAAGUAAAUGCCAUCUUUCAUAUCUUGGACGGUUCAUCUUUUUAAAAAGCUUUUCCCUGACAUCAUGACCCAACAUUUUAUAGAACGUAUAGAACUCAUGAAGGACCAAUCUUCGUUUUGCUGAUUCAACCAACAGAGGGUGGUUCCUGAUGAUCCACAUAAGUUUUUGCCGCCGCUGAGACUUUUGACUUACGUAUAUUCUUUACUCGAGCAAUAAAAUCAUCAACAUAAGCAGGCCUCUUGCCAUUCUCACCAUAUCUUGGCUUUAGAAGGACGGUGACCAAUUGAUCCAGAUCCUUGUUACUGUUUGAUAUUGAGGCCUCCAGCUUUGGUUCUUUAAUGGUGACACAGAAUGGAGGUUCCUCUGAAACAAGCAUAUCCGUCACAUCAAAAUCUCCUCCCCAGCUCUUGUUCUUUGCAUGAGUGUCCUCAAAUAACUCAACGUAUCCAUCCACAACAGAUGCUCCAGUCUUUGUUGUCUCCAGAGUUUGAGGUUCGGGGAUACUGCCAACAGUUGAUCCCACUUUGAAUUCAUAUGGCUCGAUUGGUGGAUAUUUGUCAAGGAAAUCCAAUACCGGGAUGAAGGUCACCUGCAUUGUCACCUUCUUGAUUCUUUUGGAAUCUGAACAUUCCCCAUCUUCCAGACGCCUCUUCCUAGGCAGCGGCUGGGAUGCCCAUGCUCCACAUGGAGGCACAAUGCUGCCACCUUGUGGCUCACGCAAGAUUUGUGGCCUCCAAUUCUGCUGCAACGGCUGUGAGGGUGCCCUGGUUCCAUGCUGAGGCAUGGCGCUGUACCCUUGUGGUGGAUGGAAGGAAGAGCUUUGGGCAUUCUGUACCGAAUGAAGUAACGCAUCAGCAGGACGAGGCAGUGGAGCUCGGAACUGGAGGGUGGGGUCCCCGGACGCGGCACUGGGAGGUGGCGCAUGAGGGCGAGGCGGUAUCACCGCUGCGCCGUACAAGUUGGGGGCGGGUGCCGGAUGGAACGGAGGGAUGAGAGGGUUUUGCCCCCUGGUGGCGAUCACAGGCCGCAGAAGAUGAGGAGGUCGCUCGCUCAUGGCGACGAUCGUCCCCGGCGGCAGCGGCGGCGGGCUGUGGUUUGUUGGCGAGGGUACGGCGGCGGCGGCGGGUGCCGGAUGGAACGGAGGGAUGAGAGGGUUUUGCCCCCCGGUGGCGAUCACAGGCCGCGGGAGAUGAGGUGGUCGCUCGCUCGUGGCAACGAUCGUCCCCGGCGGCGGCGGCGGGCUGUGGUUUGUUGGCGAGGGUACGGCGGCAACGACAGGUGCCAGUUGAAACAUAGGGAUGAGAGGGUUUUGCCCCUCGGUGGUGGUCACAGGCCCCGGGAGAUGAGGAGGUCGCCCGCUCAUGGCGACGAUCGGUGGCGGCGGCGGCGGGCUGUGGUUUGUUGGCGAGGGUACGGAGGAGCGGCGAUGGGUGUGCUUGGUUCGCGAGGAUUUGAUCUGGAGGAGCGGCGGACGGCGCGUGGGCGCUUGUUCGAGCGGCGGCGUUGGGGUUUUGAGUCGAUUCGAUUCGAUUUGGUGGGGAUGAAAGCGCGUGUGCGUUUCAGUCCGGCGAGGGCUACAGUACCAGUCAUUUUGGGCUCGCGGUUGUGCCUUCGAUAAUUUUGUCAAACGCGACUUGUGUUUAUUAUAUUUUGCACACUGCAACAAAAUCAUGUUUCAUACAUGCAUAUAUUUCCAUUCAUUUCAAAAUUUCACGUAAAAAGAAAGGGAGAGAAAAGGCCACAUUUCCCGCUCAAAUUUGCCAUGAUGUGAGCUGAAUAAGGUAAGGUUGUUGUCCUGACACCUAAAUGACUCGUCUCAUCUUGUUUUACCGGAUGCUCUAUGUAUCAAGUCUGGACGAGUCACGAAAGAAAUAGUUGUGCAAUUUACAGAAAAAUAAGCCACACGUUGAUAGGGUUUGUGCUAAUCCAAGGACGGAAGAGGAUAUGACGCUGGUGGUUGGGGAAGUGGUCUACUGAAGGAAGGCAAGUCCUGCUGAUGGUGUUUUUGCUUGAGCCCUACAUGUGCUCUACUUUCUGCUCACCAGGACGUUUCGGUGUGGGGUGGGGCCGUGGGGGGUUGGGUGGAGAUCCGUCUGUAACAGCAUCUCGAGUAGAUUAUCUAAACAGGAUUGCUAUACCUAAAAAUUAGUAUGGGGAGGGAGGACUUUGUUUGGGUGAAGAUCCAUCUGUUAGAGCAUCUCCAGGAGAUUACCUGUUUUGCUAUACCUAAAAACUAGCACAAUACCUAAAAAUAAAAAAAAAUUGCUCCAGCAACGUACUUGUAUGGUUGCUAUACCUAAAAUCUUUAUAAUGUAAUCUAAAUUUCUCUCUCUCCUAUGUAAAUAUUCCCAUCCAAAGAGUGGAUUGCUAUAUUUCUUUCUCACCCGGGAACUCCGACAGCUGCUCGUACGAAACUUCCACCCGCCGUGCCCCCACGACCUCCGUCCCCGGCGCCGGCGGAGCACCGCGCCACCUCGCUCGAACUCACCUCCCCUCCCGCAACCCUUCUGUGACUCGGCACGCACCCUGCCCCGGCUCCGGCCACCACCGCAUAGGCACGGGCGAGGACGACGGAGGAGCAAAACACCAUCGAAUUGAGAUGCAGGUCGGAGGAGGAGCUGGGCCAAGCCUCGAUUCGGUGCUGAGCCGCCCCAACAGCCACCGGUGGCCGGACCUCACCUCCGCCCGCCCCCAAUCCACUAUGCACCCGCCUCGGCCGCCUCGGCCAGAUCCUGCGCGGGUGAGGGCGAGCCCCGCCGUGGGAGCUAGCUAGGCCACUCGCGCGGGGCCGAGGUGGCCAUCGGCGGAGGGGAAGGAGGAGGUAAGGAAUAAGCAUGGAAGCCAUCGAUUCGAGGCAUCCGCCGUCGAUCUGAGCCCUCCCGCCUUCCAUAUAAGCAGGGCCAAUGGUCUUUGGUCUAAAAAGGAAAUUGUACGCAUGAGGUUGCUGCCGGCGCCAGGUUGCCAGGUCAGCAAACAAGUCCCAAAAGCGGGCAUUCACGACAGCGCGAGACCCACGAGAAACGAGCAGCGCCACCGUGCGGGGAGGAGGGUGGAUUUGGAGUUUUGGACUGUGGAGGAGGUAGCCUCUUGGAAGACGUUUUUAUGCAUGCAGCUUGGCUUGUUCGUACGCAUGGUUUGUUGACAUGUAUUACCCCUGUACGCUUCAAUGGUGUGUGUCCUUUUGGAGGCUUUCCAGCCAACCGGAGGACUUCACCAAGGUGACCCGGUCUCGUCGUAUUUGUUUUUGUUUAUGAGGGUCCAAUCGAUGAAGCGUCAUGUGUUAAGUGUUGAUGGACGUGGGAAAUAUGUACCUGCACCAAAUUUCUUUUCCAGAUAGGAGUGGAGAGACGUCGGCUACCUGUUUGCACCGUUGCAAUUGUUUCUUGAUGGGCGUGUGGAGCAUGAAACCGGUGUAUUAUGCGGAGGAAUUGAUUUCGACGAGGUUCUUUUCUUUGUUUUCUUAUGCGUCGGUAUUCAAUUCCUCUUUGAAUUUGAUUUCGCCGGGUGUACCCACGACGUUAGUGGCGUCGCCGGCCUUGCAACCAACAACAUGGAAGUUGGAGGAUUGCUUCGUCCCUCCAAGGUGGAUCUGUCUAUAGCUUUUCUAUGGGCUGGUGUUUUCUACCCCCUGCUGCUUGUUAACUGGAGUUAGCUGGUGAGGCGACCGGUGUUUAAUUUCGAUGAAAAUGAGGAUUGCUCGGGGCGUUCAAUGGGAAAACAAUAUGUUUCUGGCAUACUACCGAAAGGCUUGAAUUUUGAAGACUCUUCGUCGAAUCGGAUUUCGGCCGUGGGCUUCAUCCUGGAGGUGGAAGAUGAUCUGGCUGUAGGAACAUUGGUCAGCGGCGGCGACGAGCACUGGGUGCUCCUAUAAAGGAUUGUUGUGUAAUUUCCUUUUCAUUCAGGGUGCUCCGUAUGGGGUGUAUCAAUAAAAUCCAACCCUUUCUCUCUUAAAAAAGUUGUCAUAUUCAGAAAUUGCUUGAACACCAGAUCUGAGUACGAGGUACAAAGAGAGCAAUCAACACCUCAAGAGAGAGCCAUCUGGGCUCAUUCCCGAGUGCCAAGUUCCUAUCAGCUCACAAUUAGUAUUAGUUAUUAAGGGUAAUAUAAAUAUUUCUCACAACUAAUAAUGUGUUUGAAAUUUUCUAAACGACACUUAUUUUGGGAUGGAGGGAGUAUAAUAUUGUCAUGGAUACCCGAUGUUGCAGACCUUAGAAUACCCGGAUCCCAUUGCCUAAUAGACACAUCCCUCUUGUGCUUCAUAUCCAUCAGAUAUGCAUCAUCAUAUAUUUCAGACUUGAAAGCUUUAUUGUUGAGCUCGUGCCACGGGCUGAAAUCACUUAAUAUCCAUGAUUGCGUUUCGUUGAGCACUUUACAAGCAUUACCUGCUAGUUGCCUUAUUAUAUCAAGCACGGCCAAGUCAAUGAAUAUACAUCCUGAAAGCUGGUAACCUGCUGCACGUACCUAAUUCAUGUGCCAUAUGACCCUCAUAUGUUAAAUUGGCCUCUACCUUUGCCUAUUUGUGCUCUGGGCAUAUGCAACUCCAUUGACUUAGAAUCAUAUACUGCUGCCCUCUUGUUGCGUGCACCUUUUUUUAUGGUUCGUACAGCUGUAUGUCCUCACAAACCUUUCCUGCAGUAAACACAUCCAACUCUAGAAAUAAUGGCAAGCCACCAAUACGAAUAUGCACGUCACUGACGUCCAACCUGGCAAUAUGAUUUGUCUUCUCGUUGUCCAUGUACUCAUUGCCCAUGGCUAGUUGUUCCAAUAAGCCACAAUGCGCAUCCAGACCAGACAGUCCCAAACAGCAUCAACGCAAGGCAGUUCAUCUGAGUCCCUCUUGUAAAGCAUCAUCCCACACCACUGAAGCUUUGAUAGACACCUGCUUUCGUUCUGCAGCCACCCUAUCCUCAAGAGAGACAAUUCGUCAAGUACGGCAUGCACAGAAUCCAAGCCAAGCUCCAAGAGAACAGCAGGACCGUUGAGCAAGUCAUCGGUGUUUGGUGCGUCAGUUAGCUUACUCUCCUCACCAACAAAGUAAUCUCCGCCUAGAGCUAACUGCAACAGUAAAACGUGCUGGUCGAGCAUGUCUUGCACCUCCCUCAUCCCAUGCCACAUCUGCAACAUUCACUUGAGUUUUUGUCUUUUGGACGUGAUCUGCUCAGCUUGUGCUGGCGCUCCUUCCUUCACUUCUCCCCUUUGCCUCAAUUCUGAUAGUUCAAUUGUUGCUUGGCAAUGGCCAUGUUUGCCAAAUUUCUCCUCCACAACAUCCAUGAACUGGUUUCAGGGACAUAACUCGUGUUACCUGCAACCAGUGCUUUGCCUUACCCUUAUAUACAUGGCCACCACAAUCACCCACAUGCAUUUGUUGAUAUUGUAAACAUGGAAGUAACUGAGACAAUCAGCCUUCCAAGCCUGCAGGUACUCACUUUUGAAUAUAGGGAAAGGAAGUUUUGAAAGGCUAUUGCAGUUUCGACCUCCAUUCCUCUCACAACCAUGGUUCAGCACCUCCAUAGAGUUAACUGUAAGCAAAGUUGUUACUUGUUAGGAACAAAAUCAUGUAUUAGAGGCCCUAGAACGAGACACAUGAAUUUUGUUUGUUUGCCGCACUCUUAGAUCAGUUGCAUGCAACAUAUAGGAAGAAAGAAGACUUCAUAUCCCUGAGGAUCUGUCUUGUACCGUUCUUACUCUGUUAAAAUCUCUCCUACCGUUCUUACUCUGUUAAAAUCUCUCCUGCAAGGAUCCAUGGAUAAUUCAUUGAUGGGUGAUUCCAGUUUUGUAGUAAGGUGGAAACGUUUUUCAUCAGAAAAAGAAAUGAGAGAGAACUUAUCAGAGUUCCAAACUGUAAAAAAACGGGCUUCUGCCUGAGCUUCCAAGGAUAAAGGUAGAUGAACCCGGAGGCUCCUAGCAGGCACUGGUAAGUUUCAACAUGUUGAGAUGGGAGGGGGAGGUUAGGGCAGAAUGAUUGCUUGAGCUCGCCGUGAUGUACCCAGCUAUGAACAAGAAGAUACCGUGUCGUGGCCAUCACCGUACCCAACUACAGCGAAAGGCUACUCAAUCGGCUGGCUCUAAAACCUCACGCCAUCAAAUGUCUACUAGGGGGGUGGGGAUUGAAGAGGACGAUGGGAAGCUAGGACUCGACGGAUUUGGGGUCGGACGGGGGACCGGGUGAUUUGGGGGCGCGGGGAUGGGAAGAGCCGAAGAGGGAUUCCGUCCCGACGUCCGUUGCGAUCCCAAAUUCCAAAUCCAAAAGUCGAGUCAAUGGCAUCUUCCCCGUUGAGGAAACGCGGUCAUAGGUGGGCCGCCAUGCGAGCAGGCCCGAUUGGAAAUCGAUUGUUGCACGGCCCACGCAAGCAGUCCCGAUUGAAAAUCGAUAUACGAGCUGUAUCUGGUGUUUAGAAGCCCAGAUUGGAACUGGGUCCAUUGAGGUAGAAGCCCAGUCAGAAUCCAACCGAGUCCUUUCUAAAAACGAGUCUCUUCUCAGCCAGUUCCCCAUCCCCACCUCCAGACGUUCGAGUUCCUCCGAGAGGACGACAAGCAGAGGAGGCGUAACUCUAAUACCCAAAUUCCGUCUAGUUUCUCCUUCAAUUCCCAACACCCGGCCGAAAUCUGAAGCGCCGAUGGAAUCCGGAUCGAUGGUCGAUAGCGUCUCCUUCAAUCCCUCCGGCGACGCCAACAACGCAUCCCCGUGGCCAUCCUCGAUUCUCCUCGCCCAGGAGGCGUACGUCGUCAUCAGCAGGAACGACACCACGGCCUCAGCCAAAUCGAGGGCCGACCAUACCGUGGAGGUCACCUUCUGGGUUGCUGACCCACCGGCCGUGUCCUUCUAUACCUUCCACUGCUCCAAGCCCCCCGUCUCCGAUUGCGAGGACGCCGACUUGGAAGUUCAGCCGCAUGUGGUCGGCGCACAGGGCCGAUUCAUUCUUCUCCGCACCCGCUUCGCUUCCGGCGACGACGAGGAUGAAUACUUCAUCUAC
rnacentral:lncRNA from 1 species